AUUGAACGCUGGCGGCAGGCUUAACACAUGCAAGUCGAGCGAGAGGCGGACGUGUGAGUAAUGUCUGGGAAACUGCCUGAUGGAGGGGGAUAACUACUGGAAACGGUAGCUAAUACCGCAUACCAUCAGAUGUGCCCAGAUGGGUUUAGCUAGUAGGUGGGUUAAUGGCGCGCCUGGGCGACGGUCCCUAGCUGGUCUGAGAGGAUGACCAGCCACACUGGAACUGAGACACGGUCCAGACGCCUACGGGAGGCAGCAGUGGGGCAUAUUGCACAAUGGGGGAAACCCUGAUCCAGCCAUACCGCGUGUGCGAUGAAGGACUUCGGGUUGUAAAGCACUGUUGGCAGGAAAGCGGUACCUGCAGAAUAAGCACCGGCUAACUACGUGCCAGCAGCCGCGGUAAUAC
rnacentral:rRNA from 1 species